rnacentral:rRNA from 1 species
CCUACGGGUGGCAGCAGUGGGGAAUAUUGCACAAUGGGGGAAACCCUGAUGCAGCGACGCCGCGUGAAGGAAGAAGUAUUUCGGUAUGUAAACUUCUAUCAGCAGGGAAGAAAGUGACGGUACCUGACUAAGAAGCCCCGGCUAACUACGUGCCAGCAGCCGCGGUAAUACGGAGGGGGCAAGCGUUAUCCGGAUUUACUGGGUGUAAAGGGAGCGUAGGCGGCGGUGCAAGUCAGAAGUGAAGGCCCGGGGCUCAACUCCGGGACUGCAUUUGAAACUGGAUGGCUAGAGUGCAGGAGAGGCAAGUGGAAUUCCUAGUGUAGCGGUGAAAUGCGUAGAUAUUAGGAGGAACACCAGUGGCGAAGGCGGCUUGCUGGACUGUAAAUGACGCUGAGGCUCGAAAGCGUGGGGAGCAAACAGGAUUAGAUACCCUUGUAGUC